rnacentral:rRNA from 1 species
AUGAACGCUGGCGGCGUGCCUAAUACAUGCUAGUCGAGCGAACGGACGAGAAGCUUGCUUCUCUGAUGUUAGCGGCGGACGGGUGAGUAACACGUGGAUAACCUACCUAUAAGACUGGGAUAACUUCGGGAAACCGUAGCUAAUACCGGAUAAUAUUUUGAACCGCAUGGUUCAAAAGUGAAAGACGGUCUUGCUGUCACUUAUAGAUGGAUCCGCGCUGCAUUAGCUAGUUGGUAAGGUAACGGCUUACCAAGGCAACGAUGCAUAGCCGACCUGAGAGGGUGAUCGGCCACACUGGAACUGAGACACGGUCCAGACUCCUACGGGAGGCAGCAGUAGGGAAUCUUCCGCAAUGGGCGAAAGCCUGACGGAGCAACGCCGCGUGAGUGAUGAAGGUCUUCGGAUCGUAAAACUCUGUUAUUAGGGAAGAACAUAUGUGUAAGUAACUGUGCACAUCUUGACGGUACCUAAUCAGAAAGCCACGGCUAACUACGUG